GUGCCAGCAGCCGCGGUAAUACGAAGGGUGCAAGCGUUACUCGGAAUUACUGGGCGUAAAGCGUGCGUAGGUGGUUCGUUAAGUCCGAUGUGAAAGACCUGGGCUCAACCUGGGAAUGGCAUUGGAUACUGGCGGGCUAGAGUGCGGUAGAGGGCAGUGGAAUUCCAGGUGUAGCAGUGAAAUGCGUAGAUAUAGGGAGGAACAUCUGUGGCGAAGGCGACACCCUGGACCAGCACUGACACUGAGGCACGAAAGCGUGGGGAGCAAACAGGAUUAGAAACCCGCGUAGUCC
rnacentral:rRNA from 1 species